AAAGACUUAGUCCUAACCUUAACGUUAGUUCUUGCUAGACAUAUACAUGCAAGUAUCCGCACCCCAGUGAAAAUGCCCUUAAACCUUAUCAUAGAUAACAGGAGCAGGUAUCAGGCACGCACAAUGCAGCCCAAAACACCUUGCCCAGCCACACCCCCACGGGAACUCAGCAGUAAUUAACAUUAAGCAAUAAGUGUAAACUUGACUUAGCCAUAGCAGCCACUAAGGGUUGGUAAAUCUUGUGCCAGCCACCGCGGUCACACAAGAAACCCAAAUUAACUUUACUCGGCGUAAAGAGUGGUCUUUUACUAUCUCCACGACUAAGAUUGAAACGUUACUAAGCUGUUAUAAGCCCAAGAACCAUCUAAACUCUUCUCCAAAACGAUCUUAGCUUCACGACCCAUUAAACUCCACGAAAGCCAGGACACAAACUGGGAUUAGAUACCCCACUAUGCCUCGCCCUAAAUCCCGAUGCUUUCCCACCACAGCAUCCGCCCGAGAACUACGAGCACAAACGCUUAAAACUCUAAGGACUUGGCGGUGCUCUAAACCCACCUAGAGGAGCCUGUUCUAUAAUCGAUAACCCACGAUACACCCGACCACCUCUCGCCAAAACAGCCUAUAUACCGCCGUCGCCAGCCCACCCUAAACUGAAGGACUCACAGUGAGCACAACAGUCUUACCCACUAACAAGACAGGUCGAGGUAUAGCCUAUGAGGUGGGAGAAAUGGGCUACAUUUUCUACCAUAGAAAAUCCACCACGGCAAGGGAUGUGAAAUCACCCCUAAAAGGCGGAUUUAGCAGUAAAGUAGGAUUACAAAGCCCCCUUUAAACCGGCCCUGGAGCACGUACAUACCGCCCGUCACCCUCCUCAUAAGCUACUAUCAACAUUCUAAUUAAUACGCCACUAAGCUAAAGAUGAGGUAAGUCGUAACAAGGUAAGUGUACCGGAAGGUGCACUUAGUCUAC
rnacentral:ncRNA from 1 species